rnacentral:lncRNA from 1 species
AGCUUAUGGAAUUCUUGGAGGAAUGAAUUACUGCACACAGACCAAGUGUCCAGAGUAGGGCCUGGUACAUUAACGGGCAUCACUGAAGCAGGGGUUCACGUCAGCAUUCUGGUUCCAUCAACACUUUCUCUGGUUCCAUUAUAGAAUGGUGUAAAUACUCUCUUCUUGGGGCGGGGGGACACCUAAACUGUGGAGAAGGGUGUAAAGCAGGGCUUCUCAACUGGGGGUUGGUUUGCCCUCUGCCCAAGGGAUAUCUGGCAGCACCUACAGACAUCUUUGGCUUUUUAGGACUUGGGAGGGAGGCGGGAGCGACUGGCAUCUAGUGAGGAGAGGCCAGGGUUGCUGGGAAGCGUCCCGCAAGGCACAGGAAGGCCCUACAGCCGAGUUACCCACACCGCAAAUCAAUAGCCUGAGGGUGAGAAACUCGGAGAGAAGGUCAAACAGCAAAGUCUCUUGGCCCCUGAGUCCCGCGUCUCCCGUGUGUCCAGCACCGCUCGAUUCCUCCUCACGGGGUCGUCCCCACCAACAUCCACACUCUACCCCCCGAUGACAGUGAGCUAGUCAUAAACAAGAACAACACACCAAGAGUCAGGUGUGGCCCCUGGGGGUCCCCGGCCAUGCUCUGCUCCGCCUCCCAAGCUACGCAAGGCAAGGUGGGCUCUGCCUCCUUUGAGAAUCGCCUGCAGGGAAGAGCAGGGGGGCCUACGACCUGCACCUGCGGGGCCCAGGCUGCUGGGAGUGUGGAGACCAGGGAGGGAGGACGGCCGUGACCCAGGCCAGGCAUGACGGUGACCGCGGCCAGGGUGGUGAUGCUGAGGAGGAGGACCGUGGUUGGACCGGAGGCAGGGAGUGACCAAUCAGUGAUGGCAGGACAUCUGGGGCGGGGGAGGCACCAAGACAGUCCCUGGCUGGGGGACCCUGCAGGUGGAUGCGGGAGCAGCUGCUCAUUGGGCAGGUAGACAGGCACCAGGAGAGGGCUUGUCACGCGCAGAAUUACAUGAGGGCGUGACCCCGGAGGGCAACCUUGCUUAUCACACGUCUGGUCCCAGGCCCUGACGGCACAGAGCCUGGGAAUGGACCAUGACUGUCCGAGUGACGCUCGGCAUGGCUUGUGCCCACCCCUUUGCUUUACGCGUCCUGCCACUUCCCAGGGAACACAUGGUACCCAGGACCCAUCGAUCCCCGCACAUCAGAGGGAUCUGUCUACUUAAGGAUGCCGGCCCCUGGCUUUGGAAGGAGUCACAUGGAGGGAGAGGCAAAAAGAUACGCGGGUGUGCUCUACGGAUGCGGGUCACCACCAAGCGAGGCAGAAGGGGAGUGCGUGUCGGAUGGGUGACUGCCCCCUGCAAAGGCCUGAUCACAGCGUGGAUGGGUCACUGAACGAGGACGGGGAGACGGAGGCAGGAAGGGGGGCUCCAUGAGCACCCACUCGCACGCAGAGAAAUCAGAGCACCACCCUUGCUCUCAGGCGGACACACCCAUUUUGCUCCUGGGUCUCCCCGCGCCGCCGCGCCGUGAUGCAGCAAGCCAGGGAUGCGGAGGAUCCACCCAGGCCCCCCUCCCAGAUACAUCGCUGGCACUGACCAGAGAUCUGGCUCAGGGCUGGUGUGGUCCUCCCCUGGCAAACCGAGGGGUCUCCCCAGGGCUGCAUGUUCUAGAGUUUUUAAGAUGCAGAGAGAGAAGCAUAUUCAAAUUCAGAGCUGGCGGGACCCUGAGAAAAGGAAUGCGCCCAGCCCACAGGGUCCAUGAAAACCAAGCCCUGAUCACCUAAAUAUAGACUAACUUCUAAAUAAGGCUUCAGAUCACAGAUUUGUUUACUUUCAUUUGGUGAUAAUUGUUCACAGCAGAACAUAUCAGAAAAUUCUAUAAUAGGAACCACAGCCAGGAAAGAGUAAAUAAUUAAUCACCCUCCCUCCCAGCCUCUUGCAUCUCUGUUGAUAUAAAUGACCGUAUAAUUCCAAACCCAAUUAUCACUACUUAGCCGUUCCAUUUUGUAGUUAAAAUCCCACAAAAUUAAAGUGCAUCAAUUGUUAAUGGUAAUAGACCAGACAAGGGAUUAAAGAUUAUUUUAAUGUUUAUUUCCUGUCAAGAGAUCUUUUGGCAGGAAACACCGCAGACAAAAGGCAGCAAGCUCAGAUGAGAUUCAUAUAUUUAAAUCUUCUAACUUCUAAAAACAUUAUGGAUAUAAUUACUUGUUUAAUUUACUUGUUCCCUCAAGAUACAGGCUGGGGAGAUCAAGCCAACUUUAUUAUAUCCAGUUCUCGGAGAGGAAAGACACUGCUCUGCAGCAUUUUAUAAGCUAGUUUGUCCUCAGUAAUCAAAUCAGAUUUAGAGCCCACGUCCCAGGAAUGAUGACAGGGGCGAGAGGCAGAGGCAGAGGCCAGUGUGGGAGGGGACGGGGCCCCACAACACCCCUCAGGCCUGCACCCACAGGGCUGUGCAGCCGAGGCACACCCCCACGCUCCCCUGAGCCUCAGUUUCCUUGUGCAUAAGAUAGAGUCAGGCCAAAGUCACCACCGGCUCAGAAUGCAAACACAGGCGUGGUGAUGCACCUCUGAUGGCCUGUAAGGUGGUCACCCAGAAGAGCCUUAGCUGCUUAGUUCACCUUUCUAGGUUAUCGCUGAGAUGAACACACGUGCACUUGCUCACACACACACACACACACACUCACACACACAAACACUCACAGGAGAAACACCAGUCUAUUUGCAAAAUACCAAGACAGCCGUUAACAGUAAGUGGGAGCCCAAUGUCCAAUUGAUGUACUUAGGAUGCCGGUUAAGAAAGGUUAAGAACUUCAAAGGCAUAAACAAAUGAGGGAGGGAUGGCUAGACAGACAAAAAGAGUAACUGCUCACCUGAAAAACUGUUUAGAUGAUGGAGAAAUCAGAAUCUAGAAUAUAAGAUAUGUAAGAGUGUGUGUGCGUGUGCACGCGCAUGCCUGUGUAUAGAGAGGAGGGAGAGGGGAGGGGGCAGGAUGGUUGGAUGGACGGACAGAUAGAUGGAUAGAGAGAGAAACAAAAAUCGUAACUGCUCACCUGAAAUGACUAUUUAGAUCAUGGAGAAAUCAGAAUCUACAAAGAACUUGAGACUCGCUUCCAGGUGCUCAGUCAAUUCUUUCCGGCUCCUUUCUGCCACCUUCCUUAGAAUAUAAAAAACACGAAGGCGGCGGUAUCUGUGCGCUGCCCUACUGCUAGCACUGAAAAUCGAGCCUGGCCUGUAGUAGGAGAUACGCCCUUGACAAAUGUCCCUGGAGCAUACUGUGACAAUGACAAUAACUGUGCGACCACUUACUGUUUCUCCGAGGGAACUCCUGUCUCCUGAUUCUCGGGUCAGUAUAUCAACUUCCUUAACUCGUAAGGGGUCUGGGGAUGAGAGGGGUUGAGACACUCGGCGGGAAUCGCACACACAGGCGCAGGGUGCCAACCAGCGUGAGAACCACACUGCCCGACCUUGCAUCCUGGGCUCACUCCCUGUCAUCACUCGGGCUCUUGGAGAGCGUCGCGCUACGGGAAGCCAGGGGGAGGCACUUUGCUUUAAGCAGCAAACAGACGACCAAAAAAAGAAGCUUGUGCAGUGGUCUGGGUUCCCCAAGCGGGACGUGACCUUGGGCCCAUCUUCAACUCUGAAUCGCUGCUUCUCCUUCUGCACACAUCUUUGCAGUGGGCAGAUUUUAUAUUUGCUCAUGCCACUAAAAUGACUUAGGGUGUGUUGACCUGAAAGUAACAGAUGCAUGAUUCAAGUCCAACUCAAAACUGCAAGUCCAGAGGAAGAGAGGCCACAGGCACAGGGGAACCAGCAGCUCACAAUGCCCCACUUAUCCAGGUUUUUCACUUGCUUCUCUGACCCCUUUGGGGACAGCUUCGCCUCACGCUGGAAGGCCUCUUGGGCACAAGGCGGCUGCAGUGCGUCCAGGCUGAGUCAACAUCCAACAGAAGCAGAAAGUCUAUCUUUUCCUUAUGCAACACUUUUAGGAGUAAGAAAACCUUUCCCAGAAGUGCCUCCCAUUUUCAGAGGUCAGGGUUGGGUCACACAUCUGGUUCUAAGCCAAUUACAUUUGCUUGUUUCAUGGCUUCGGUUCAUUGGUAUAGGUGAAGGGAUGCCGGGAGUCAGCUGUCAUAACUAUUAUGCUCAAAUGACAAAAUCUGAGGCAAAAGUAAGUCAUUAAAUAAACUCGAGUCCUUAUUUUUAAGAGUGCAGGGCCCGUUUCACGUUUUAUGUAAGUCAUUAUGCGACACACCUUAACCUGACACAGUGCUGUAUAGGUCAGUUACACCUCCAUUAAACUGGGAAAAAAUAAUUUUUAAAUAAAGACGAAUAAGCAAAUUUUCUGAAAAAAAAAAAAGAGAAAAAUACAGCGUUCAAACUGUAAAACAGCCUAAUUACCCAACACCAGAGAAAGAGUUAAACAAAAUAGAAUUCAUUCAUAUGAUACACUCUUACGACAACACUGAGGCAUUUUUCUAUGCAAUGUUUAGUGACAUGAGAAAUUCUUAUUUAAGAUAAAGAAAUUCUUACUUAGGAAACUCUUACAUACAUACAUGUACGUACACACAUAUUCACAUAGAUCAUGAGCCCAACUUUUUAAAACGUCAUUACUCAGAAGAAAGAAAAAAGAACGAAGACCACAUUAUUAAGAGUAAUCACCUCAGGCAGGGGAACUAAUGGAACAUUUUAAUUCCGCAUCAACUCCUAAAUUGUUUCCUUCUCCUUCUUCUCCUAUCAUGCAUAAGAUACACUACAAAGCUGAAAAACAAAAGUUGGCUUUUCAAAGCAACAAGUGACUCUGGAUGGGGAAAAAGAAAAUCAAAUCGGGUUCCAUGACUGGGUCUGGUCCCAAAAUUUGCUUAAAUUGCCAGGUAAGAAAGGUCAAGAAAUUCACAGUCUAAUAAAACGUACAUGUAAAAAAGAAAUGUCUGCUGAUCUACCAACUGUGUUUGAUCACAGAGAGCUCAGAAUCUACCAAGAAAAGAAAUCUAGCAUCUUUGCCCCAGCACCCAAUUCUCAGGCGUGACAAAUCUUGAAUUCUGGACGGUGGGAGCAUCUCGGCUGGGAGUGGGGGACAGGAGCAGCUGUCUAGGGGACACACAGGGAAACCCCUAACAGGGUGAGAAACGGCAGUGCCUGGAGUGCCAGCAAAGGGAGUGGGCCGCUGAGGGGUUGUGCGAUUUAUCAGGGCUUUCUCUGCAGCCCUGUGGACCCACGACUGCAGGCGGCAUUCACAGGACACGGCUUCCAAACAUGUUAGAAAGAACUCGGAGUUCUGCUCUCAAGCUGUCUUCAGGACACCUGGCUUACUGUGCAGGUUUAUAGUUCCUGCCUUUAAAACAGUCCUGGCAACGCCCAUCACUUUCAUCUCAGAGCUGAUCAUGGCAGAAAACCAUCACUACAAGACAGCAACUGAUAACAGCGUCCGUCUCUGUGCCCGGCGCUCUGCCAGUCAUUCUACCUACACAGUAUCUAACUCCAUCAGGUAACAAUAGCUAACAAUACAUUCCAUCCCAGAGGUGGUAAAAUGAAGGCUCAAGGAGUCCCCAUUAUGCCUCAAUGGGUUAAGAACCCGACAGAGUGUCCUUGAUGGAGUGGGUUUAAUCCCAGCCUCAUUCAGUGGAUUAAGGAUCCAUCAUUGCCACGAGCUGAUGCGUAGGUUGCAGAUGUGGCUCAGAUUCGGCAUUGCCCUGGCUGUGGCACAGGACAGCAGGUGCAGCUCCGAUUCAACACCUAACCUGGGAACUUCCGUAGGCGGCAGGUACGGCUUGAAAAAGAAAAAAACAUAAACCAAGGCUCACAAAGAGAAAGGUUUGUUAGCAGUCCAGCCAGAGUCAUACUCGGCGGUGUGAUUCCGAUGCCGCUGCUCUUUGAUCCUGAAGCGGGGGUCAGGGACGCUGCAGCUCGGUGCCUCAGCCAAGCACUGAUCAUCAGCACCGGCGCAGGUGGCAGAGCGGGAGGCAGGGAACGUGGCCUGGAGAGACGGCCAGGGUCCCUGGACGUAUACCUGGGCAAGAGGAGGAACCGCCCAGCAUGUAACAGGUGAAGGCGGGGGUGGAGCCCUAGACCU